GCCCUCUGCCCUUGGCUGCGUCCUUGCGCCCAAAGAUGUUGCCCCAUGCAGUGCUGCUGUGCCUGGCUGUCCCCGCUACCAAAGAGGCAAAGACGUCCAUAAAGAGUCUGGCUCUGCCUUCUUUGUAACUUCUUCAUAUGGUGCUACUAGGUUUCCUGGGACCUUCUCUUCUCCUGGCUGUACAAGUCCAAUUCAUACAGCCAUUUCUUCCACACCAUUCGAAAUGCCUUGGGAGUUGGGAAGAAAAGGGAAGGGAAGAGAAAAGAAAGGAAGGGAAGAGGAAAAAAGAGAAGACACCCAUCACUGGAGCUGGCCUGUGAGAGCUUUGGAUGCAAACCACUUGGAAGCUCUAC